GAAACCAACAGGGAUUGCCCUAGUAACGGCGAGUGAAGCGGCAACAGCUCAAAUUUGAAAUCUGGCCCUUGGGUCCGAAUUGUAAUUUGUAGAGGAUGUUUUUGGUGCGGUAUCUUCCGAGUUCCUUGGAACAGGACGCCUUAGAGGGUGAGAGCCCCGUACGGUUGAAUGCCUAGCCUUUGUAAAACUCCUUCGACGAGUCGAGUAGUUUGGGAAUGCUGCUCUAAAUGGGAGGUAAAUUUCUUCUAAAGCUAAAUACCGGCCAGAGACCGAUAGCGCACAAGUAGAGUGAUCGAAAGAUGAAAAGCACUUUGAAAAGAGGGUUAAAUAGCACGUGAAAUUGUUGAAAGGGAAGGAUUUAUGACCAGACUUUUUCUAGGCGAAUCAUCCGGUGUUCUCACCGGUGCACUUCGUUUAGUUUAGGCCAGCAUCGAUUUUCGGGGUGGGAUAAAAGCUUUAGGAAUGUGGCUCCCUCGGGAGUGUUAUAGCCUAUUGUAUAAUACCGCCCUGGGGAUCGAGGUACGCGCUUCUGCAAGGAUGCUGGCGUAAUGGUUAUCAAUCACCCGUCUUGAAACACGGACCAAGGAGUCGAACAUUUGUGCAAGUGUUUGGGUGUUAAACCCUCACGCGUAAUGAAAGUGAACGGAGGUGAGAGCCCUUACGGGUGCAUCAUCGACCGAUCCUGAUGUCUUCGGAUGGAUUUGAGUAAGAGCAUAACUGUUCGGACCCGAAAGAUGGUGAACUAUGCGUGGAUAGGGUGAAGCCAGAGGAAACUCUGGUGGAGGCUCGCAGCGGUUCUGACGUGCAAAUCGAUCGUCAAAUCUGCGCAUGGGGGCGAAAGACUAAUCGAACC
rnacentral:rRNA from 1 species